rnacentral:rRNA from 1 species
UACGUAGGGUCCGAGCGUUGUCCGGAAUUACUGGGCGUAAAGAGCUCGUAGGUGGUUUGUCGCGUUGUUCGUGAAAACUCACAGCUCAACUGUGGGCGUGCGGGCGAUACGGGCAGACUUGAGUACUGCAGGGGAGACUGGAAUUCCUGGUGUAGCGGUGAAAUGCGCAGAUAUCAGGAGGAACACCGGUGGCGAAGGCGGUUCUCUGGGCAUGAUCUGACGCUGAGGAGCGAAAGUGUGGGGAGCGAACAGG